CCUACGGGCGGCAGCAGUGGGGAAUAUUGGACAAUGGGGGAAACCCUGAUCCAGCAAUGCCGCGUGGGUGAUGAAGGCCUUCGGGUUGUAAAGCCCUUUCGGCGGGGACGAUGAUGACGGUACCCGCAGAAGAAGCCCCGGCUAACUUCGUGCCAGCAGCCGCGGUAAUACGAAGGGGGCUAGCGUUGUUCGGAAUUACUGGGCGUAAAGGGCGCGUAGGCGGCCCCGCGCGUCGAGCGUGAAAGGCCUGGGCUCAACCCAGGAACGGCGCUCGAUACGGCAGGGCUAGAGUGCAGGAGAGGAUGGUGGAAUUCCCAGUGUAGAGGUGAAAUUCGUAGAUAUUGGGAAGAACACCGGUGGCGAAGGCGGCCAUCUGGACUGCAACUGACGCUGAGGCGCGAAAGCGUGGGGAGCAAACAGGCUUAGAUACCCUUGUAGUC
rnacentral:rRNA from 1 species